rnacentral:lncRNA from 1 species
GGUGAUAGGCUGCCACUGGGUGCACCGGCGCUGAUGAUGUCUCCACAGGCAGUGAACUUGGGCAUGGUGCGCCCAGACUUGGUUCAGAAAAGGGAUGACAAGUACAACAUAUCAACUGAUGCGUUGAAGCAAUCGAGGGUGGAGAUUGACGAGCCUGAAUGGAUUAGACCACAGGCUGACUACUGGAAGCAGCAUGCCAAGGGCUUUGCCGUCGAUAUUCAAUCAAGCGAAAUGAAGAAGAGGGCACCGUUCCCUUGAGCUUCGCACAGCAACAGCCACAGCCGCAGCCUCAGCUUCUGUCUUUCAUGUUCAAGCGUUGUUUCGUUGCAUGUUACUCUAUAUUAGUCUUUUGUAAAAUCUGUGUAAACUGUUGCUGCUUUUUCUUUUUCUUUUUCUUUUUCUUUUUCCUUUUAUGUAUUUUCUGCUACGGAAGUCUGAAACUUCCGCUUUAUUUGUAUGUAUAUUUUGUAGCUUCCAUGUCAACAAUUGGCGUUUGCCAUGUUUGUGGUCGUUUCCAUGUCAACAUUUUGGGCGUCUGCCGUGUUUGUGAUUGUUGAUUUCUUGAGUUUUCCAUGAUGGUAGUCUGUAGACACACUGGAAUUGCCAACGUACCUAUAAAUUAGCUUCUAAGAAUAUAAUUUCUCAGAGGUAGAUUUUUAUAAUUUAGAUUGGGUUAAUAAAAGUUCCAAGUUAUUGUUCCAAAUUAAUAUAUCCAGAGUGCAUGGAUAUAUUAAUUAAAUAAACGUCCUAUUAAAAUAUGGCUUGAAAAAUUGAUAAAUAUAAUACAGAAAUAAAUCUUCACCAUGUACAUUUUUUUUUUAAAACAAUACAUUGAAAUUAUGCUUAGAAAAUUUAAAAAUGGGUGUGUUACAGGAGAACUUUUUACGAAGUUACUCACCUAUCUAUCUUCAUGGUACUUUUUUUUUAAGUACUUUAUUUACACACUGUUCCAUGCGUAUGCUAUUGAGUAUUGAGAUAUUGAGUAUACAGAUUUUAUUUUAUAUUUAAAAGUUGUAGAUUUUAAGUUGUGGAUGCCGUAAAAAAAAUUAAUUAUAAAAUAAAAAUGAAUAAUGCAUAUGAUUUUUAAAUAUUAUUAUAAAAUAAAAAUUAAUAAUAUAGGAUAAAUAUAAUUUUUAAAUAAUUAUUUUAAUAAAAAAAAAUAAAAAAUUAUAAAGAUAUUACAUUUUUACAUUAUAAAAAUAAUUAAUAUUUUUUAAAUAUUUAGUAACUUUUAAUUUAUAACCGUCCGAUAGAUUGAACCAAAUCAACAUUAAUUGUGAGUUUUUCCAGGCAAUUCCUAUUCGGAGAAGUAAACCCAAUACUAGUAGUACUACUUGCGAAUUAGGACUAUAAUUUAGUCGAUCUCGCUUAACACAUGG